UACGUAGGGUGCGAGCGUUAAUCGGAAUUACUGGGCGUAAAGCGUGCGUAGGCGGUUGGUUAAGUUUGUCGUGAAAGCCCCGGGCUCAACCUGGGAAUGGCGAUGAAAACUGGCGAGCUGGAGUGUGGCAGAGGGGGGUGGAAUUCCAGGUGUAGCAGUGAAAUGCGUAGAGAUCUGGAGGAACACCGAUGGCGAAGGCAGCCCCCUGGGCUGACACUGACGCUGAGGCACGAAAGCGUGGGGAGCAAACAGG
rnacentral:rRNA from 1 species